GGGGGUAUAGCUCAGUUGGUUUGAGUGCUUGCCUCUUAUGCACAAAGACCUGAGUUCAAUCCCUAGCACCGCCC
rnacentral:tRNA from 1 species